GAGGAUGUUUACCUUGGUCACAGGGGAUGGGCCAUUACCAUUGGGUACUCUCCCUUUUCGAAACGUUUUGAAAGACAAUGCAACCGUCCCAAUGGAAUAUUAUUGAAGCCCUGGUUGAAAAAGCCCCUAAAGAUUUAUGUUAUACAAUGUUUGACAUGUUUGAACGAACUUAAAUAUAUUUUUUUUGCUCAUUCCUGACGACAAGUCAGACACACCCGGUACAUUUUCACUAGCAUUUGGAGCGCGCUAACACUAUUGGGACAUAAAUUAUUAACUUUUUUGAACAAAACUACAUUUGUUAUGGACCUGGGAAUCCUAGAAGUGCCUUCUGAUAAAGAUAAUCAAAGGAGUGUCAUCUGAUGAAGGUUGUCAAAGUCUUGUUCCAUCGCUGCAACUCCCGUACGGCCUCAGGAGAGGCGAAGGUCGAGACAAAACCCAGGCAACCCGACUGCUUCUUGACACAAUGCAUCCAUAACCCGGAACACAGCCGCACCAACGUGUCGGAGGAAACACCGUACACCUGGUGACGGUGUCAACGUGCACACGCCGGGCCCGCCACAGGAG
rnacentral:lncRNA from 1 species